UUGCAAUGAUGAAAGAUCAUUGUGCUUGAUAUGGAUGUGUGCUUCUUUUGCAGAUCCAUUGGUGAUGGUUACACAAACCCUCUAAGAAGUUCUAAGCAA